CCCCAGUCUGGCCAGAGUUGGCUGGAGCUGUUGCCAUGACAAGCAUUUUCUUAAGACAGCUCUUCUGUUGAGACCGUCCUAGGCUGGGGGUGGGGUGGGAGUACGAACUUCCUGGGGGACCAUCCCUCCGAAGACGGCGAGGUCAGACACCCGCCCAGCUCCCUGCACCCAUUUUCUUCCAGGAAGGUCCUUCGCGUGGAAGGGCUGGGGAAGAAGACUCAGUCCACUCCCCCAGCUGUGGCCAGAGAGCAAAGCCAGCAUCACUAGGUGGUUUGCCACACUGGGGAGAGCGGUGGGUGGUCACCCCACCCUACUCGGUCCAUGGAAACGCUGAGGGAGAGUCCCGCUUGGAGACACCUGAAUCUUUGCUAGAAAGAGAGGUCAGAUUCUGAUGAAAUUUGUUUCUAAAAAUAGCCCCAGACGAAAUCCAGCUGGUAAAGAGCCCCUUUGUUCCCUUGGAACCAAUGUGUGGAAAAACCACAGCAGCCCCAGGAAAGGCAAUCUAUGUCAUCCAAGAACGUAUAUAUACUGAAUGGUUAAUGUCACUGCCCUUGAGCGCUGAGUGUGGCCCAGCAGCUUCCUGCCUCUGUUCUGAGGAGUGAGAAGCAAGCACUCCAGAUGACUGUUUUCCCAGGCACCUCUCAUGACCAGGGGGCAGGGGCAUCGAGGCUGCCUGUUCCCCAGAUGCUAGAUCUCCGAGAUCAGCAGUUCUCAACCUGUGGGUCAAAUAUCAGAUAUCCUGCAUAUCAGGAUGGAGCUGGGAAUGGAGGUAGGGCUGUGACAUUGCCCUGGAAGGAAGACACAUUCCU
rnacentral:lncRNA from 1 species